GCCUGCCGCGUGCGGGAAGAAGGCCUUCGGGUUGUAAACCGCUUUUGUUCGGGAAGAAAUCCUCUGGGCUAAUACCCCGGGGGGAUGACGGUACCGGAAGAAUAAGCACCGGCUAACUACGUGCCAGCAGCCGCGGUAAUACGUAGGGUGCGAGCGUUAAUCGGAAUUACUGGGCGUAAAGCGUGCGCAGGCGGUUGUGCAAGACAGAUGUGAAAUCCCCGGGCUUAACCUGGGAACUGCAUUUGUGACUGCACGGCUAGAGUGCGGCAGAGGGGAGUGGAAUUCCGCGUGUAGCAGUGAAAUGCGUAGAUAUGCGGAGGAACACCGAUGGCGAAGGCAGCUCCCUGGGCCUGCACUGACGCUCAUGCACGAAAGCGUGGGGAGCAAACAGGAUUAGAUACCCUGGUAGUCCACGCCCUAAACGAUGUCAACUGGUUGUUGGUCCUUCACUGGAUCAGUAACGUAGCUAACGCGUGAAGUUGACCGCCUGGGGAGUACGGCCGCAAGGUUGAAACUCAAAGGAUUUGACGG
rnacentral:rRNA from 1 species